GAUGAAAGCAUUCCGUCUCUUACUAACGUUCCUAGAAUCUCCUUUGCAACGGAGCCGCCACAGAUCUUCGGCGAGAAAAUUGGCGAGGUGCACAAAGUGCCUGAGGUGCCCGCUCUGGUCCCAGCGCUGGACUCCGACGGAGAGGACGAGGAAGUCGCCGAGGAUAUCACCGAAGAUGCAACGCACACGGAAGGCGACGAGAGCUUCGUGUCGGACCCCACCAGCGUGCCUGACGCCACGGCCACGGACGCCACCGACGAAGACGCGCAGGAGGGCGGAGAGGACUAAUCUCACACUCAUUGAU